GGGCCCGUAACUUAGCCUGGUAGAGUACCGGUCUUAUAAGCCGGUGGUCGGGGGUUCAAAUCCCCUCGGGCCCA
rnacentral:tRNA from 1 species